rnacentral:rRNA from 1 species
GAUGAACGCUGGCGGCGUGCCUAAUACAUGCAAGUCGAGCGAACAGACGAGGCGCUUGCUCCUCUGACGUUAGCGGCGGACGGGUGAGUAACACGUGGAUAACCUACCUAUAAGACUGGGAUAACUUCGGGAAACCGGAGCUAAUACCGGAUAAUAUAUUGAACCGCAUGGUUCAAUAGUGAAAGACGGUUUUGCUGUCACUUAUAGAUGGAUCCGCGCCGCAUUAGCUAGUUGGUAAGGUAACGGCUUACCAAGGCAACGAUGCGUAGCCGACCUGAGAGGGGGAUCGGCCACACUGGAACUGAGACACGGUCCAGACGCCUACGGGAGGCAGCAGUAGGGAAUCUGCCGCAAUGGGCGAAAGCCUGACGGAGCAACGCCGCGUGAGUGAUGAAGGUCUUCGGAUCGUAAAACUCUGUUAUGAGGGAAGAACAAAUGUGUAAGUAACUAUGCACGUCUUGACGGUACCUAAUCAGAAAGCCACGGCUAACUACGUG